rnacentral:rRNA from 1 species
UGGGGAAUAUUGCACAAUGGGCGCAAGCCUGAUGCAGCCAUGCCGCGUGUGUGAAGAAGGCCUUCGGGUUGUAAAGCACUUUCAGCGGGGAGGAAGGCGAUAAGGUUAAUAACCUUGUCGAUUGACGUUACCCGCAGAAGAAGCACCGGCUAACUCCGUGCCAGCAGCCGCGGUAAUACGGAGGGUUCAAGCGUUAAUCGGAAUUACUGGGCGGAAAGCGCACGCAGGCGGUCUGUCAAGUCGGAUGUGAAAUCCCCGGGCUCAACCUGGGAACUGCAUUGGAAACGGGCAGGCUAGAGUCUUGGAGAGGGGGGUAGAAUUCCAGGUGUAGCGGUGAAAUGCGUAGAGAUCUGGAGGAAUACCGGUGGCGAAGGCGGCCCCCUGGACAAAGACUGACGCUCAGGUGCGAAAGCGUGGGGAGCAAACAGG